GGAAGAAACACAAACCGACCGCUUCGCUCGGUGUUUCUCAACCACCCUCGCUCGCGACUUCCUCCAGCCGCCGCUGGCGCCGAUCGUCCCCAUUGCGGAGAUGGAGAAAGCAAAAGCCAAAGAUAAAAACGGUAGAUUGGAGCCACCGUACCUCUGAGGAAGGGAUUUUUCAACACACUUCUAACAUGAUUCUGCAUUAUAUAGGUGAUGCUUGUGCCUAUUGUCUACUUGUUUGGAGGAUUGAGGUAGAGGAAGCAAAAAACACCGGACACAAUUGGUAAUUGGAACAGGAUAUAUCAAUAUUCCGUAAACUCAUGCUAACUAGCUACUAAUCAUAUACUCCCUCGGUUCCGAAACAAGUGACGUGGAUUUGUAUAAAAAUCUAUACAAAUCCACGUCACUUACUUUUGGACGGGGUGAGUAUGUUACUGCUAUGUAAACUUGGAACUUAUUCUUAUCUAGGUCAAUAAUCCAAUCAAUGUUUUUUUAAUAGCUGAUGCUUGUGUGUGUUGUUUGUUUGUAGGUUUGAUGCAGAUGAAGUAAUUAUCAAAAGCAGAGGCUCGGGUACAAAAAUAAAAUAAAUCAUGUGGCAUGCUUGUUAACAACUAAGAAGUUGCUGAGCCGAAGAAUUAUAUUUCUUGCAUUCUCAUCCGUUUCAGAUAAUGAAUUUUGUUGUGCAUAUGUUAGACCGGCAAUUUUGCACAUGAUGCCGCAUGAGGAAUAUGUUAUUACUCCCUCCGAUCCAUAUUACUUGUCUCAAAUUUGCCAAAAUAUGGAUGCAUUUAUGUCUAAAAAGUAUCUAGGUACAUGUAAUAUUUUGACAUACAAUUAAUAUGAAUCGGAGUGAGUAUUAUCUUUGUUCAACUGACAACGACCUAGCCAAAGAGAUAGAAAAACAAUAUAUUCGUCUUUUGAACUGUACAUAGGUGUGCCAAAAAAAAAAUUCUGAAUAUUUUUUUCAAUCUCAAAUGGCUUCAAAAAUUGAUGUACAGUCUGGUGAAUCUAUAACAGUGUCUGACUCCUUUGCUACAUAU